UGGCGAUAUAGAUAAGAACCUUCACAGGCCAGAGAUGUACUUAUGUGCCAAAUUUGGUUGCUCGGCUCCUGGUAAUACCAAACAGACAGACAUUUUAUGAGAAACAGUAGCUACCUGAAAGUGAGCAGAAGCAGCCCCGGGAGACUAAGACCCGCCACGUUGCCCGCUCCCUGUAAGGUAUUUAAGCCUCAUUCUUCUCUUGCCACAAGAGCCUUUUAUUCCAGGCCUCCCACCCACUACAGCCACACCAGCUCUUAGUUUUUCAAAGAGACUUUAAUCAUUUUAAUAUGAAAGCUGCUAAGUACCCCCAAUAAUCACUUUGAUGAAAUGGAGGACAUUUUGAACAGCCCCCCCACCACAUUUCAGCUUUUCACCCCUGC
rnacentral:lncRNA from 1 species